CUGUCAUGGGGCUGUCUUCUCAGYGUCCCCCUUCGUUUAUCCAUUUUGGUAGCUCGGGGUGCCUCGGAUUUGGUUGCCUGUGCGGUCUUACCGUAGUUGGUAUCACAAUUGUCCCGCUGUUGCGUAUUUUGCUUGCCCUGUUGACGCUAUGCAUCGACGGGCGGCCGAGGUGUUGGCAAAUUCCGUGCGCUGCGAUGCACUUUGUGUGUCGGAUCUGCUUAUCGGAUGUUUGCCGGGUCUCACGGAUAUCAGUCCCUACGUUGAGCGGUCUGCGGGUUUCAAGCCUGCAGGCUGAUGGUGUUGCCCGUACACAUAAAUUUGUUGCCCAUGUCUUCACCGACAUGUCGUGCUCUCUCGGCAUUCAUGCCGAGGGAACACACUCGGCGCAUGCUCGUGUGUAUGUGCAUAUCCUUAACCGACCC
rnacentral:misc_RNA from 1 species